UUCAUAAAUGACAGUCCGAAUGAUGUCGCUCUGCUGUGAGGGAAUAAAAAAACGGAUCAUCAUGAUCGAAGACCAAGGUGUUCAUGGUUUUAAAUGCGGCGUUCCCUCGGACUCAGUUGAAGGCUGCUGUUUUGAGAGCGCGCUCUUACCCCAGCGGUUCCAUUCGACGCAAAAGCGGACCGUGGAAAAGGUACGCGGACAUUCUCCGUGAUGCACUGUUCCGGAAAAUUGCCCCUCUAAAAUAGAACAUGGGGAAAUAAUGACCAGUAGGUAUUUCGUUGUUUGCGUGUUUAAGAGAGGACAUGAAAAAUGCAUGUUUAAAAAUGUACCAUGUCUUUCAGAAGAUUGUAACUCGUCUUUAUAAGGUGUCCGUCCAGCUGGCAUUUUAUGGGCGCACUUAAAACCUGUGAAAUGCAGAACAGGGCGCACAACCAGGCGGUGCUCUCAAGUGCCAUGUUCAUAGUUUGUUGAGUGACCUGUACCAAAAGAAUAAUGGAACACUUAAAUAUUGUCCCAUGAUAAAAGAGUAAUGAAUAAGAACAAUAUCAAACUCUUAAAAAUGGAUUACCUUUUUGUAGUAGGUUGUACUUGAUUUUCCAGCAGUGUGGUUUGACUCCCGAAUUCAUAUCUUUCAGCGGCUUUUAUACUAUAAAGAUCCUUGUGUAAAAAAAGUGAAAGUAUAAACCCAAAAAUGCAAUUAAAGUGAACUUAGUUUGGAAAGAAUAACCCACAGGGAUUCCGUUUUCGGGUUCAGUUCCCCUUCUAAGCGUUAUAAUAGAUGCAAGGCGCAUCUGAGGCAGUUUACAGUUUUUUUGAGAAUUUCGAGAAGCAGGUGCUGCAUUUGCGUUCAUUUUUUAAUUAAAUGACGACACUCUUUACGUAACCAGACAGUCACUAACAUGGAACUCGCAGCGUAAGAGGAACAGUGGAUGGCCCAUGAACCGUUGGGAGAUCUCAGUCUCAUCAGGGUACAAGGAUAGCACUAGAAUGAACUGGGGAAAGUAGCUUAGAACAGAGUGAGAUGGGGACGCAUCAUAUAUGUCCUGUUCUUUUGGCUCUGAAUCUAGUCAGAUUUAAAUGGGAAUUAAAUCCAGAAACUGAUAUGGCGCGCCCUUGACUUGAGCCCUCAAAUUUAAGCCCUCGUUGAGGGAGAGCUCUCCUUUUAAGCAUGCCAUAAUAUCACCAGCCAAUCAUUCUAGGGCUCGAGGAGUGGUAGGUUAAACCAGACAGUAUGAUAACUGAACGCGACACUUAGGAACUCACUUUUGAAGUCAUCGUCAUUUGGACACCUCUAAAUGACUUGACUACCAAAGGCUGUGCGUCUCAUGAGGCGUCCGACAGCUGGUGUUUCCGGGAUGGUAGUCUUGGUACGAUUUAACAGAACUAUCCUUUGUUCAGUAUUGUACCGAUUUGGUAGCCCGAUAAAGAUGCAAUGCGUAUUUGGCCAGCAACGUAUGUACACCGUAGGCUACCAGAAUAUAGCCUACAUUAAAAUCAUCUAUUUUAAUGUCUUUAAUGCCUUUUCUCGGUACCGCCGUUGCGUUGAGUCGGAAUAAACAGCAAAAAUGGCACUUACAAUUCUAUUGCACGAACUGUAGGUUCGCCUGUUGGCAUGCUUGUACAAAUGGUCAAAUGUCUAAUGUCAUGAUCAAAUAAAUAGAUCUGAAGUUUCAAGAUGGUCCAUGUACCCAAGAUGUAUGUGCUGACUUGUGUCCGCUAAUCUCUGUCAAAAAUAGUUGUUGACAAAAUGUACAAGUUUAUCCAUAUUUUUUCUCAAAUGUUAAUGAUCAAUAAAGGUGUUGGACACAAUUAUGGAAACACUUAACAAUAUAUGAAUAUGAAGUAGCUAAUAAGGUAUAUGUCCACGCAUCAUCUUCAGAAUUUUUUCUUUAGUAGUGCGUGUGAGGGCGUUAUCAUCUUGGAAUAUGGGGACGUCAUGAGGGAACUGCGAUUGUACUGUAGGGUGCCCCUGGUCUUGUAAAAUUGCUUUAAUAUUCCUUUGGCUAUUACAGGUGUGUGCAGAGCAAUCAUCACACCCAAUGGCUCCCGUGAGAGCUACCCAUACCAUUGCAGAUCCUCCACCAUUUUAACAGUUGGCAACAGACAUUGCGGGUUGAUGGAGCCCCUUUCCCUUUGCCUUUCUCCAAACAUAAACCCAUGCAGGUGCAGGAAAACAGUGAAGGGUGGCUCAUCUGAAAUAGGCUGUUCCUUUUUUCACAGGGGUCCAGGUUUUGUUCUCCUUAUGGCGGAUUAUUCAUCCUUGGGCAGUAACCUUCCAUUCAUGUGGUUUCUGAAAGGGGGCCCCGCCAAAAAUGCUAGCUUUACGAAGCUUAUGAUAUACUGUUUUGUCGAGAUUGGGUCGCAGAGGUGUUUCAGCUCUGUGGUAGUUUUUGAAACCGUAUUAUCUAGUGUCUGUCUGUCCCUCUCGCUGAGCUUUGAUUUGCGACUACUGUUUCUCAUUGCCAAUGCCGUUCGUUUGUGAGCGGUGGUGGUUUCAACUUCCCAACCCUGUUCCUGGAGAUCUACCAUCCUGGGCUGCGUUUCUGAGUUUCGAUGUACCUUAACAUUCUACGAAGGUUUCUAAGGUAUACCUUUCAAUGGCAAACCACUUUUUUACGAGUGUUUCCCAGACCAUACCUUAACAGCUGCCUUAAGGGACACUUCCAAAGGUACGUCGUAAGUUGGCGCUGGCCUUCACUGUGGUGCUGAAAAAUGUAUCAAUUGAUGCCAAGCGAAUCGAUUGUCAUAUCAUGCUUUCAUUUUCAUCACUGUUCCCCAUGCCCCUUUAAAUCUUCUUGCAGUUUAAAUUUUUUGUUGUUGUAGUUUUUUUACUUAAAAGGAAGGGUUAAGCACAGUCUGCUUUUUCAUUCAGAAUGCGGCCACCUUUAUUACCCUUCAUGUCUGGAUUGUAGAAUUUAUAAACUGGAAUCCAAAAGGGAAAUCGAAACUGAAACUGGAAAUAUCAAACACAUUAAGUUAUGUGGGGCUUACUUGACUUAAAUUUUUGAUGACAAAACUCUGGAUUCGUAAGGUACAUGUUCUGGAAAUGCCCGUGACGUGUUGUAAUGUGUUGCCGUGUUUUAAUGUCUUUUGUAAAAAUCACGUUUUUUUAAUUGGAUUUUUAUUAUUAUUAUUAUUAUUAUUAUUAUUAUUAUUAUUAAUUUUAUGUUAUUGUUUUGCGUUACUGCUUCCUUAGGAUGUUGGAUUCAAGGAAACGUACUAAGUUUACUCCCUCUUCGCUGUCCAUCACUACGGGUAGUGAGGGACAGCGUUAAUUUUGAGCCCUUGUGGUUAUCUUACUUCCGUAAUGUAGCUUGUUAGUUGUGGAGAGGUGGACGUUCGAGUUCGCCAUGGUACAGACGUGUUAAUUUGAGCUGUUGGUCUCGUGCAAUAAGAGGAAUCAUCUCGAACGAGGGUGUUCAUUUCUUUUGUCAUUGUUAAUUGUAACUAUGUAAGCCUAAAUGCACGUACGAUACAAGCACGUAUUUCUAACAUCGAUCUUGAAAAAUCGACUUUUAAAAGAGCCUAUGAAUCGGUCUUAAACUUGAAUGUACCGACUUGGAACUUAAUCAGACGAUUUUAAAUAUCUCUCGAAAAGUCUCUCGAAAUGUAUUAAUUUGCAAUUAUGUGAUAAUGAUAAUUUUAUUGAUACUCUAACGGUAUUACAACGGGUAGUCCACACGAGUUCACUAUUGUUUACCCCAAUAUUCUCUGAAUUUGAAAUGAAAUGGCCAUCGUAUUCUACAGCUUCGCGAGUGCACGCUUAUCAAUGAAAUGUCACGUCAAUUGGCAAGUGAAAUAUUGUGACGUGUCAUUUUUCACCUGUGAACUGUUCAUAUUAAUGAAACUUCACAAACUAGAUUACAUACCCACAUACUUAGCUUCUUGUAUACAUCUUUUUUCUAUGUCGUUAUGAGUUGCUUAAAUUCUGAUUAUACUUUUGCAAAAAUGAGAGACCAUUUCAAAAUUUGCUGCCACUCCUAAAAUAUUAUUUUUAGGAGCAGACUUUUUCCGCUAUGCAGUCAACCGUGCACCGUAACAAUAAUACAAAACAAGUUCAUUAAAAUGAAAGGAAAGCAAUUUAUUUGAGUGACGUUUAAGUUGUAAGGUAAUCACUGUCACACAUUUCACAUGUCAGUAAAUUGGUAAAUGAAUAAAUAAAUAAAUACACAAGAAAACAUCGGUUUAACAUUUGUAAAUAAAUAAAUAAAUAAAUAAAUAAAUACUGCAGGGAUCUUUCAAUGGCAAAUAAAUAGAGCUCAUAUUCUUUUUGGCCACAGCAAGCUCUCUGAAUUGUGUUCAAUGAUGAAAUCCAGGGUGCGGACAAGUUCGUCUCGCACUUUUUCCCACGCGCAAAAUAAGUUCUGAGGAGAGAGAAGACACAGACCGUUAAAAUAUUUUUAUAUCACUGAACAAAUUUUUGGAUUAACUUUAUAAUUCUUCAAGUGGUCAUAUCUAAAAAUUUGAUUGGACUCAAAUUAGUUCAUCAUUUAAAAAUAAAUCGCUUCAUGUACUUAAAUUUAACUGGAUUGAGUCACAUAUUUUUUUUUGAUGUGACCACUUGAGGAAGAAUUUUGAAGAAUUCUUCUCUUGAACUAACAUUUAACUUUCCUAGUGUAUAUUGUGCAAAACAUACUCAUUGGAAAGUAAGUCAGAUAUUUGCUGAAUGUGUGAUAUUUUGUGCUGUGUUAAUUUUUUUCACCAUACCUUCUUUUGUAAAAGCGAUGCCAGUCUCUCAAAAUAAUUUCUCAAUGUCGCUGUUCUGGCAGAGACGUCAGAAGGGUCAGAAUCGUCACUCCCUGGCUUGCUUCCUCCCGCCUGAAAUUGGCAUCCAAGACCCACCGAACAAAGUCAGUUUUUUGAUCCUAUGUUUCACCAUCAAUGAUGAAAUACAACCAAUGCUAUGUAAAAGUUGUGUAAGUCGCUCUGGAUAAGAGCGUCUGCUAAAUACCUGUAAUGUAAUGUAAUGGAUCUAACCUAGAUAUUUUAUUUAGCAUGGAAAAUUUGCAAUUCAGUCGCGAUUUAUUUAAUGAUCAAACAUUUUUCAGCCUACAGCGGACAAAUAUAGCCUAAUACGAACCUAAUAUGCAUAAUAAAUUUCAGGGCAUAGGCUACUUACACAUGUGCUUUUAUGAACCUGGCGGUAGAUGACAGUUUGAAAAUCCCGCAACUUGAUUUUAUCCCACUCCGUCGGGAAAUCGUCGUUUUCAAACAGAGAGUUGAUGCUGUACAGAGUUUCAUAAAUGACAGUCCGAAUGAUGUCGCUCUGCUGUGAGGGAAUAAAAAAACGGAUCAUCAUGAUCGAAGACCAAGGUGUUCAUGGUUUUAAAUGCGGCGUUCCCUCGGACUCAGUUGAAGGCUGCUGUUUUGAGAGCGCGCUCUUACCCCAGCGGUUCCAUUCGACGCAAAAGCGGACCGUGGAAAAGGUACGCGGACAUUCUCCGUGAUGCACUGUUCCGGAAAAUUGCCCCUCUAAAAUAGAACAUGGGGAAAUAAUGACCAGUAGGUAUUUCGUUGUUUGCGUGUUUAAGAGAGGACAUGAAAAAUGCAUGUUUAAAAAUGUACCAUGUCUUUCAGAAGAUUGUAACUCGUCUUUAUAAGGUGUCCGUCCAGCUGGCAUUUUAUGGGCGCACUUAAAACCUGUGAAAUGCAGAACAGGGCGCACAACCAGGCGGUGCUCUCAAGUGCCAUGUUCAUAGUUUGUUGAGUGACCUGUACCAAAAGAAUAAUGGAACACUUAAAUAUUGUCCCAUGAUAAAAGAGUAAUGAAUAAGAACAAUAUCAAACUCUUAAAAAUGGAUUACCUUUUUGUAGUAGGUUGUACUUGAUUUUCCAGCAGUGUGGUUUGACUCCCGAAUUCAUAUCUUUCAGCGGCUUUUAUACUAUAAAGAUCCUUGUGUAAAAAAAGUGAAAGUAUAAACCCAAAAAUGCAAUUAAAGUGAACUUAGUUUGGAAAGAAUAACCCACAGGGAUUCCGUUUUCGGGUUCAGUUCCCCUUCUAAGCGUUAUAAUAGAUGCAAGGCGCAUCUGAGGCAGUUUACAGUUUUUUUGUGUGUGUUCUUCUAUGGAAUUUUCAUUGAUCAAGUGUCCUUCUUGUUCACGUAGCGAAGGAAAGCAAUUUCGAGAAGCAGGUGCUGCAUUUGCGUUCAUUUUUUAAUUAAAUGACGACACUCUUUACGUAACCAGACGGUCACUAACAUGGAACUCGCAGCGUAAGAGGAACUGUGGAUGGCCCAUGAACCGUUGGGAGAUCUCAGUCUCAUCUGGGUACAAGGAUAGCACUAGAAUGAACUGGGGAAAGUAGCUUAGAACAGAGUGAGAUGGGGACGCAUCAUAUAUGUCCUGUUCUUUUGGGUCUGAAUCUAGUCAGAUUUAAAUGGGAAUUAAAUCCAGAAACUGAUAUGGCGCGCCCUUGACUUGAGCCCUCAAAUUUAAGCCCUCGUUGAGGGAGAGCUCUCCUUUUAAGCAUGCCAUAAUAUCACCAGCCAAUCAUUCUAGGGCUCGAGGAGUGGUAGGUUAAACCAGACAGUAUGAUAAAUGAACGCGACACUUAGGAACUCACUUUUGAAGUCAUCGUCAUUUGGACACCUCCCAGGACCAACGGCUGCGCGUCUCAAGGGACGUCUCGCAGUUUCCGCAGCUGUUUCCGCAACUGUACACGAGAAACGACUAAUUUUUUUAUAUAUUGUGUUCAAUUGUUAUUUUUUAUUGAUAAGAAAUUAAAUCUAGAAUGUAAUUAAACUACAACAUUUUGGCAAAUUA